rnacentral:rRNA from 1 species
GACGAACGCUGGCGGCGUGCUUAACACAUGCAAGUCGAACGGAAAGGCCCUGCUUGCAGGGUACUCGAGUGGCGAACGGGUGAGUAACACGUGGGUGAUCUGCCCUGCACUUCGGGAUAAGCCUGGGAAACUGGGUCUAAUACCGGAUAGGAGCCAUUUUUAGUGUGAUGGUUGGAAAGUUUUUUCGGUGUAGGAUGAGCUCGCGGCCUAUCAGCUUGUUGGUGGGGUAAUGGCCUACCAAGGCGGCGACGGGUAGCCGGCCUGAGAGGGUGGACGGCCAGAUUGGGUGUGAGAUACUGCCCAGAAGUCUACGGGAGGCAGCAGCGGGGAAUAUUGCACAAUGGGUGCAAGACUGAUGCAGGGCCGCCGCGUGGGGGAUAACCGCCUUCGAGUUGUAAACUCCUUUCGCAAGGGACGAAGCGUUUUGUGACGGUACCUAGAUAAGAAGCACCGGCUAACUACGUG